CCAAAUAUCUAGUCUACUCAUCUCCACUUGUCUACAACCUAAAUAAAACAUUUUCACCUUCUAGUAGGGGAGACUGAAAAAUUAAUUAGCACUUCAGAUUAAGUACCGAAAGGGAAUGAUGAAAUAAUAAUGAAAUAACUAUAAAGCCCCCAUAUAGCAAAGUUUACUACUUGUACCUUUUGCAUCAUGGUCAAGCCAGUUCAAUUAAGCGAAAAGCAAAUUUUAGUUUAACCUCCCGAAACUGGGUGAGCUACUUCAAAAUAGUCUUUAGGACGAACCCGUCCCUGUUGCAAAAGGGUGGGAAAAUUUUUUAGUAGCAGUGAAAAGCUUAUCGGACCCAGAGAUAGCUGGUUAUCCAAGAAAAGAAUUUAAGUUCUACCUUAAGUUUAUUUAUAAAUCUAAAUAAAACAUAAAACUUAAGAGCUAUUCAAAUAAGGUACAGCUUAUUUGAUCAAGGACACAGCCUCAUACAUAGGGUAACAUCUUAAACACUCAUAAGUAGGCCUGAAAGCAGCC
rnacentral:rRNA from 1 species